UCAUGUACUCAAAGUCUUGAUGAUGGGGCUGUAGACUGCUGAACUGAGUGCCUGUUUUGCAUCUGAGAAGAGGAACUCUACUACAGUGAGGAUGGAGGGUGUGGAGCAGGAGCCUUCUGCUGCUGUGACUUGUGGUGAAGCUCACAGUGACUGCAGAAGUGACUUCUGGUGUUAUGCUGGAUGGAUAUUUGAUGGGGAUCUGAAAACUGUUACUUAGACCUCAGGGGCUGGGAAGAAAGAAGCAAAGGCCUUUAAGUUUGAAACCAUAUGAUGGGCAUCCAUUCUGGACAAAGUUUACUUGAAAACAUCAGGUCUCUUAUUCCAUGCUCACUAGAGGUGGGAGAAGAACAGUGCCAUACUCUUCACGCAGAGCUUUUUUCUUCCCUUUGUGUUUUUUUAGAAUAAAAAUACUUAUUUAGUUUUUUAUGUAGUUCACAUUUUCUAGGUUUCUGAUCCUUCUUACAGCUGUCUUACAGAUUCACCUCUGAUCAGGCUACUAUUUUCUUAAUAAAUAAUGCCCCCAAAGUGGUAGUGCUUUGCUUUAGAUUUUACUCAAA